rnacentral:lncRNA from 1 species
GCCUGGCGAGGCACAGGCAAGGCGCACUGCAGGUCCUGAUCCCUGCCUCUCAGGGAGGCAGCUAAGGCCCUGCGAGAAAUCGAGUGCAGCGCCAGUAGGCUGGCAUUGCUGGGGUACCCGGCGCACCCUCCACAGCUGCUGUCCCGGGUGCUAAGCCCCUCACUGCCCGGGACUGGCGGGGCCUCUCCAAGUGCGGGGCCUACCAAGCCCAAGCCCACCCGGAACUGUAGCCGGCCCUCAAGUGCUGCGUGCAGCCCCGGUUCCCGCCCGUGCCUUUCUCUCCAUACCUCCCGGAAGGCUGAGGGAGCCGGCUCCGGCCUCGGCCAUCCCAGGAAGGGACUCCCACAGUGCAGCAGCGGGCUGAAGGGCUCCUCAAGUGCGGCCAGAGUGGGCGCCGAGGCUGAGGAGGCACCAAGAGCAAGCGAGGGCUGCGAGGGCUGCCAACACGCUGUCACCUCUCAACAGGAGCCACCCUUAGUUAAACAAGUUAAAAAGGCUCCACCUUCUGGAGCAGGAGAAGGAAGAAAAGGAGCAGGAGGAAGGAGAGAAGAUAAAG